UAAUUGAUAAUUUGUCCUCAAGUUUUCUCGUUCUUACUCUAUCGUAGUCGCGCCGCCAUAAUUGUCCGCAAGGUAAAUUAAUAAAACUGCUUUGUGCGAAGGGCAAGAGGCUCUCGUGAUGUGAAGUGGUGAGGCAGGUCGCCUAUAGACAUUAGUAACACCAGAGGUCAAGAGAUGCGUCGCCUGCCUUUAAGGUCCCUUAAUCGUAUCGGUUCGAGCAAACUGCAGCCGCAAUUUGAUUGCACAAAUGUCUCUGCGAGACAAGAACUUUCUCGCACAACGCGCGAUUUUAGAAUGGCAGACGUAAACAAAUCUUGGCAUGGGUGGAAUUUCGCAUUAUGAUGUUAUGCCCGGUGGUUGAUUUCGGCUGCUGUAUUUACCUGAACAACUCUGAGCACUCCCCAUGAUAAUCUUUAAUUAAUUGUGUUGUUCUGAUCGCAGCUUGCAGCACAGUUCCGGCGCAGCAACCGCUGCAGCCAGCACGCCAUCGGAUCCGCCAUGUUACAAGUCUUUUAGUCCAUUUAGUUUGUCUUGAGGUAAGCAAUGAGUGAAGCGAAUGCAUUGGGAAAUGAACCAUCAUCUCAGCUGAGCUAAAAGUGCUUUUCUGCAAGCUUGCAGCACAGUUCCGGCGCAGCAACCGCUGCAGCCAGCACGCCAUCGGAUCCGCCAUGUUACAAGUCUUUUAGUCCAUUUAGUUUGUCUUGAGGUAAGCAAUGAGUGAAGCGAAUGCAUUGGGAAAUGAACCAUCAUCUCAGCUGAGCUAAAAGUGCUUUUCUGCAAGGUAAAGCUUGCAGCACAGUUCCGGCGCAGCAACCGCUGCAGCCAUCACGCCAUCGGAUCCGCCAUGUUACAAGUCUUUUAGUCCAUUUAGUUUGUCUUGAGGUAAGCAAUGAGUGAAGCGAAUGCAUUGGGAAAUGAACCAUCAUCUCAGCUGAGCUAAAAGUGCUUUUCUGCAAGCUUGCAGCACAGUUCCGGCGCAGCAACCGCUGCAGCCAUCACGCCAUCGGAUCCGCCAUGUUACAAGUCUUUUAGUCCAUUUAGUUUGUCUUGAGGUAAGCAAUGAGUGAAGCGAAUGCAUUGGGAAAUGAACCAUCAUCUCAGCUGAGCUAAAAGUGCUUUUCUGCAAGCUUGCAGCACAGUUCCGGCGCAGCAACCGCUGCAGCCAGCACGCCAUCGGAUCCGCCAUGUUACAAGUCUUUUAGUCCAUUUAGUUUGUCUUGAGGUAAGCAAUGAGUGAAGCGAAUGCAUUGGGAAAUGAACCAUCAUCUCAGCUGAGCUAAAAGUGCUUUUCUGCAAGCUUGCAGCACAGUUCCGGCGCAGCAACCGCUGCAGCCAUCACGCCAUCGGAUCCGCCAUGUUACAAGUCUUUUAGUCCAUUUAGUUUGUCUUGAGGUAAGCAAUGAGUGAAGCGAAUGCAUUGGGAAAUGAACCAUCAUCUCAGCUGAGCUAAAAGUGCUUUUCUGCAAGCUUGCAGCACAGUUCCGGCGCAGCAACCGCUGCAGCCAGCACGCCAUCGGAUCCGCCAUGUUACAAGUCUUUUAAAACAGAAGACAUCGCUGUGCCCGACAUCACUUCAGAGGAGUCAUUGUCAACGCCAGAGUCCUUUAGGAGGAACAUAGAUUUCCAACAUCACCGCAGCGCUCCAUCGUCGGGUGCUCUCCUCCAGCCUCCAUUUGUAGAACAAGGUGGGGGUGUACAAGACCUACAUCAGAUCCUGCCUCACGUACGCAGCACCAGCAUGGUAUGGGCUCGUGACCGACUGCUACAAAAAGAAAUUGCAAAUCGAACAAAAUAAGCUGUUCCGCCGUGUCGCGACACGCCCCAUGUUACGUGAGGAACACCACGAUCGAGAGGAAUUUGGGAGUUGAGAGCCUAGACGCCUUUAUUACGCGCCUCACAGUUGCCAUGACUUCGCGAGCCGACGAAUCAGGUUUCGCACACCCGUGGGAUCUGGCGACCUGGCACGCGAGGCCACUUGCUUGAGAAAAAGAAAGACCAUUUGUGGAAAUAAUAAUAAAAUGAUUUUGUUUGUCCUUU